ensembl:misc_RNA Y_RNA Y RNA
GCCUGGUCCGAUGGCAGUGGGCUACGAGAACUUACUAAUAUUACUGUCACUAAAGUUGGUAUAACACCCCCCCCUGCUAAAUUUGACUGGCUUUAA